GAUGAACGCUGGCGGCGUGCCUAAUACAUGCAAGUCGAGCGAACAGACGAGGAGCUUGCUCCUUUGACGUUAGCGGCGGACGGGUGAGUAACACGUGGGUAACCUACCUAUAAGACUGGGAUAACUUCGGGAAACCGGAGCUAAUACCGGAUAAUAUUUCGAACCGCAUGGUUCGAUAGUGAAAGAUGGCUUUGCUAUCACUUAUAGAUGGACCUGCGCCGUAUUAGCUAGUUGGUAAGGUAACGGCUUACCAAGGCAACGAUACGUAGCCGACCUGAGAGGGUGAUCGGCCACACUGGAACUGAGACACGGUCCAGACUCCUACGGGAGGCAGCAGUAGGGAAUCUUCCGCAAUGGGCGAAAGCCUGACGGAGCAACGCCGCGUGAGUGAUGAAGGUCUUCGGAUCGUAAAACUCUGUUAUUAGGGAAGAACAAACGUGUAAGUAACUGUGCACGUCUUGACGGUACCUAAUCAGAAAGCCACGGCUAACUACGUGCCAGCAGCCGCGGUAAUACGUAGGUGGCAAGCGUUAUCCGGAAUUAUUGGGCGUAAAGCGCGCGUAGGCGGUUUUUUAAGUCUGAUGUGAAAGCCCACGGCUCAACCGUGGAGGGUCAUUGGAAACUGGAAAACUUGAGUGCAGAAGGGGAAAGUGGAAUUCCAUGUGUAGCGGUGAAAUGCGCAGAGAUAUGGAGGAACACCAGUGGCGAAGGCGACUUUCUGGUCUGUAACUGACGCUGAUGUGCGAAAGCGUGGGGAUCAAACAGGAUUAGAUACCCUGGUAGUCCACGCCGUAAACGAUGAGUGCUAAGUGUUAGGGGGUUUCCGCCCCUUAGUGCUGCAGCUAACGCAUUAAGCACUCCGCCUGGGGAGUACGACCGCAAGGUUGAAACUCAAAGGAAUUGACGAGGACCCGCACAAGCGGUGGAGCAUGUGGUUUAAUUCGAAGCAACGCGAAGAACCUUACCAAAUCUUGACAUCCUUUGACCCUUCUAGAGAUAGAAGUUUCCCCUUCGGGGGACAAAGUGACAGGUGGUGCAUGGUUGUCGUCAGCUCGUGUCGUGAGAUGUUGGGUUAAGUCCCGCAACGAGCGCAACCCUUAAGCUUAGUUGCCAUCAUUAAGUUGGGCACUCUAAGUUGACUGCCGGUGACAAACCGGAGGAAGGUGGGGAUGACGUCAAAUCAUCAUGCCCCUUAUGAUUUGGGCUACACACGUGCUACAAUGGACAAUACAAAGGGCAGCGAAACCGCGAGGUCAAGCAAAUCCCAUAAAGUUGUUCUCAGUUCGGAUUGUAGUCUGCAACUCGACUACAUGAAGCUGGAAUCGCUAGUAAUCGUAGAUCAGCAUGCUACGGUGAAUACGUUCCCGGGUCU
rnacentral:rRNA from 1 species